UACGGAGGGGGCUAGCGUUAUUCGGAAUUAUUGGGCGUAAAGAGCGUGUAGGCGGCCAGGUAGGUCUGCUGUGAAAACUCGAGGCUCAACCUCGAGACGUCGGCGGAAACCAUCUGGCUAGAGUCCGGAAGAGGAGAGUGGAAUUCCUGGUGUAGCGGUGAAAUGCGUAGAUAUCAGGAAGAACACCAGUGGCGAAGGCGCUCUGCUAGGCCGUAACUGACACUGAGGGACGAAAGCUAGGGGAGCGAAUGGG
rnacentral:rRNA from 1 species